GAGCCUGAUGCAGCAACGCCGCGUGAGGGAUGACGGCCUUCGGGUUGUAAACCUCUUUUAGCAAGGAAGAAGCGAAAGUGACGGUACUUGCAGAAAAAGCGCCGGCUAACUACGUGCCAGCAGCCGCGGUAAUACGUAGGGCGCAAGCGUUAUCCGGAAUUAUUGGGCGUAAAGAGCUCGUAGGCGGUUUGUCGCGUCUGCUGUGAAAUCCCGAGGCUCAACCUCGGGCCUGCAGUGGGUACGGGCAGACUAGAGUGCGGUAGGGGAGAUUGGAAUUCCUGGUGUAGCGGUGGAAUGCGCAGAUAUCAGGAGGAACACCGAUGGCGAAGGCAGAUCUCUGGGCCGUAACUGACGCUGAGGAGCGAAAGGGUGGGGAGCAAACAGGCUUAGAUACCCUGGUAGUCCACCCCGUAAACGUUGGGAACUAGUUGUGGGGUCCUUUCCACGGAUUCCGUGACGCAGCUAACGCAUUAAGUUCCCCGCCUGGGGAGUACGGCCGCAAGGCUAAAACUCAAAGGAAUUGACGGGGACCCGCACAAGCGGCGGAGCAUGCGGAUUAAUUCGAUGCAACGCGAAGAACCUUACCAAGGCUUGACAUACACGAGAACACUCUAGAAAUAGGGGACUCUUUGGACACUC
rnacentral:rRNA from 1 species